UUAAGCGACUAAGCGUACACGGUGGAUGCCCUGGCAGUCAGAGGCGAUGAAGGACGUGCUAAUCUGCGAAAAGCGUCGGUAAGGUGAUAUGAACCGUUAUAACCGGCGAUGUCCGAAUGGGGAAACCCAGUGUGAUUCGUCACACUAUCGUUAACUGAAUACAUAGGUUAACGAGGCGAACCGGGGGAACUGAAACAUCUAAGUACCCCGAGGAAAAGAAAUCAACCGAGAUUCCCCCAGUAGCGGCGAGCGAACGGGGAGCAGCCCAGAGUCUGAAUCAGCUUGUGUGUUAGUGGAACGGUCUGGAAAGUCCGACGGUACAGGGUGAUAGUCCCGUACACCAAAAUGCACAGGCUGUGAACUCGAAGAGUAGGGCGGGACACGUGGUAUCCUGUCUGAAUAUGGGGGGACCAUCCUCCAAGGCUAAAUACUCCUGACUGACCGAUAGUGAACCAGUACCGUGAGGGAAAGGCGAAAAGAACCCCGGCGAGGGGAGUGAAAAAGAACCUGAAACCGUGUACGUACAAGCAGUGGGAGCACCUUCGGGUGUGACUGCGUACCUUUUGUAUAAUGGGUCAGCGACUUAUAUUCUGUAGCAAGGUUAACCGUAUAGGGGAGCCGCAGGGAAACCGAGUCUUAACUGGGCGUUAAGUUGCAGGGUAUAGACCCGAAACCCGGUGAUCUAGCCAUGGGCAGGUUGAAGGUUGGGUAACACUAACUGGAGGACCGAACCGACUAAUGUUGAAAAAUUAGCGGAUGACUUGUGGCUGGGGGUGAAAGGCCAAUCAAACCGGGAGAUAGCUGGUUCUCCCCGAAAGCUAUUUAGGUAGCGCCUCGUGAAUUCAUCUUCGGGGGUAGAGCACUGUUUCGGCUAGGGGGUCAUCCCGACUUACCAACCCGAUGCAAACUACGAAUACCGAAGAAUGUUAUCACGGGAGACACACGGCGGGUGCUAACGUCCGUCGUGAAGAGGGAAACAACCCAGACCGCCAGCUAAGGUCCCAAAGUCAUGGUUAAGUGGGAAACGAUGUGGGAAGGCACAGACAGCCAGGAUGUUGGCUUAGAAGCAGCCAUCAUUUAAAGAAAGCGUAAUAGCUCACUGGUCGAGUCGGCCUGCGCGGAAGAUGUAACGGGGCUAAACCAUGCACCGAAGCUGCGGCAGCGACACUAUGUGUUGUUGGGUAGGGGAGCGUUCUGUAAGCCUGCGAAGGUGACCUGUGAGGGUUGCUGGAGGUAUCAGAAGUGCGAAUGCUGACAUAAGUAACGAUAAAGCGGGUGAAAAGCCCGCUCGCCGGAAGACCAAGGGUUCCUGUCCAACGUUAAUCGGGGCAGGGUGAGUCGACCCCUAAGGCGAGGCCGAAAGGCGUAGUCGAUGGGAAACAGGUUAAUAUUCCUGUACUUGGUGUUACUGCGAAGGGGGGACGGAGAAGGCUAUGUUAGCCGGGCGACGGUUGUCCCGGUUUAAGCAUGUAGGCUGGUUAUCCAGGCAAAUCCGGAUAAUCAAGGCUGAGGUGUGAUGACGAGGCACUACGGUGCUGAAGUAACAAAUGCCCUGCUUCCAGGAAAAGCCUCUAAGCAUCAGGUAACAUCAAAUCGUACCCCAAACCGACACAGGUGGUCAGGUAGAGAAUACCAAGGCGCUUGAGAGAACUCGGGUGAAGGAACUAGGCAAAAUGGUGCCGUAACUUCGGGAGAAGGCACGCUGGUGUGUAGGUGAAGUCCCUGCGGAUGGAGCUGAGACCAGUCGAAGAUACCAGCUGGCUGCAACUGUUUAUUAAAAACACAGCACUGUGCAAACACGAAAGUGGACGUAUACGGUGUGACGCCUGCCCGGUGCCGGAAGGUUAAUUGAUGGGGUUAUCCGUAAGGAGAAGCUCUUGAUCGAAGCCCCGGUAAACGGCGGCCGUAACUAUAACGGUCCUAAGGUAGCGAAAUUCCUUGUCGGGUAAGUUCCGACCUGCACGAAUGGCGUAAUGAUGGCCAGGCUGUCUCCACCCGAGACUCAGUGAAAUUGAACUCGCUGUGAAGAUGCAGUGUACCCGCGGCAAGACGGAAAGACCCCGUGAACCUUUACUAUAGCUUGACACUGAACAUUGAGCCUUGAUGUGUAGGAUAGGUGGGAGGCUUUGAAGCGUGGACGCCAGUCUGCGUGGAGCCAACCUUGAAAUACCACCCUUUAAUGUUUGAUGUUCUAACGUUGGCCCCUUACCGGGGUUGCGGACAGUGUCUGGUGGGUAGUUUGACUGGGGCGGUCUCCUCCCAAAGCGUAACGGAGGAGCACGAAGGUUAGCUAAUCCUGGUCGGACAUCAGGAGGUUAGUGCAAUGGCAUAAGCUAGCUUGACUGCGAGCGUGACGGCGCGAGCAGGUGCGAAAGCAGGUCAUAGUGAUCCGGUGGUUCUGAAUGGAAGGGCCAUCGCUCAACGGAUAAAAGGUACUCCGGGGAUAACAGGCUGAUACCGCCCAAGAGUUCAUAUCGACGGCGGUGUUUGGCACCUCGAUGUCGGCUCAUCACAUCCUGGGGCUGAAGUAGGUCCCAAGGGUAUGGCUGUUCGCCAUUUAAAGUGGUACGCGAGCUGGGUUUAGAACGUCGUGAGACAGUUCGGUCCCUAUCUGCCGUGGGCGCUGGAGAAUUGAGGGGGGCUGCUCCUAGUACGAGAGGACCGGAGUGGACGCAUCACUGGUGUUCGGGUUGUCAUGCCAAUGGCACUGCCCGGUAGCUAAAUGCGGAAGAGAUAAGUGCUGAAAGCAUCUAAGCACGAAACUUGCCCCGAGAUGAGUUCUCCCUGAGACUUUAAGUCUCCUGAAGGAACGUUAAAGACGAUGACGUUGAUAGGCCGGGUGUGUAAGCGCAGCGAUGCGUUGAGCUAACCGGUACUAAUGAACCGUGAGGCUUAACCUU
rnacentral:rRNA from 1 species